AUUAGUCCGCAAAGUACACGCUAAAUAUAAUUAUGAAUUACUUUUCGAUCUUUUUUGUCGUCGCCCUCAUUUUGGCCAUCAGCCAUCUGGGACAAUCGAAUUCCGAAUUUCAUGGAAAAAUACCAACAUUGGAUGAAAUAAGGAAACUUUUGCUGGAAGCAGAGAAAAAUGCCAGUGCCACCAUCGAUUAAAAACAGGGAUCUACUUUAAAAACUUAUUACUUUCAAAAUAUCUAUUGUUUGAAGUAAAUAAAUGGAAAAACUUUAAACUUA